AGAGUUUGAUCCUGGCUCAGAUUGAACGCUGGCGGCAUGGUUAAAGCAUGCAAGUCGAACGAGGACCCCGCAAGGGGCGAAAGUGGCGAACGGGCGAGUAAUACGUUUCUAACGUACCUUAGAGCCGGGGAUAGCUCGGAGAAAUCCGGGAUAAUACCCGAUAAUCCCAUCUGGACGCAUGUUCGGAUGGGCAAAGGCUUGCUUCUCUAAGAUCGGGAAACGCGCUAUCAGGUAGUUGGUGGGGUAAUGGCCUACCAAGCCUAAGACGGCUAGCGGGUGUGAGAGCACGGCCCGCCGCAUCGGGACUGAGACACUGCCCGGACUCCUACGGGAGGCUGCAGCAACGAAUCUUCCACAAUGUGCGAAAGCAUGAUGGAGCAAUGCCGCGUGUAGGACGAAGCCCCUUGGGGUGUAAACUACUGUCAGGGGUUAGAAAGCAAGUGAUCAACCCCAGAGGAAGGGCCGGCUAACUUCGUGCCAGCAGCCGCGGUAAUACGAAGGGCCCGAGCGUUAAUCGGAAUCACUGGGCUUAAAGGGUGCGUAGGCGGAAGGGCAAGUACCUUGUGAAAUCCCAGCGCUCAACGCUGGAACUGCGAGGUAUACUACUUUUCUUGAGGUUGGCAGAGGUUGCUGGAACUCUAGGUGUAGCGGUGAAAUGCGUAGAUAUCUAGGGGAACGCCAAUGGUGAAGACAGGCAACUGGGCCAAUUCUGACGCUGAGGCACGAAAGCGUGGGGAGCAAACAGGAUUAGAUACCCUGGUAGUCCACGCCGUAAACGAUGCGCACUAAAUCUCGGUGGCUCUGACGCCGUCGGGAUUAAAGCAAAAGUGCUGAGUGCGCCGCCUGGGGAGUACGGUCGCAAGACUAAAACUCAAAGGAAUUGACGGGGGCUCACACAAGCGGUGGAGCAUGUGGCUUAAUUCGAGGCAACGCGAAGAACCUUAUCCUGGACUUGACAUGUACGGAUUAGUUGGUGGAAACAUCAAUGACACUCUUUGAGUGGAACGUGCACAGGUGCUGCAUGGCUGUCGUCAGCUCGUGCUGUGAAGUGUCGGGUUAAGUCCCUUAACGAGCGAAACCCCUGCUGCUAGUUGCUAACAGGUAAUGCUGAGGACUCUAGCGGGACUGCCGGUGUCAAACCGGAGGAAGGUGGGGAUGACGUCAAGUCCUCAUGGCCUUUAUGUCCAGGGCUGCACACGUGCUACAAUGGCAAUUACAAAGCGAAGCGAUAUCGCGAGAUGGAGCAAAUCGCAAAAAAAUUGCCUCAGUUCAGAUUGCAGUCUGCAACUCGACUGCAUGAAGUUGGAAUCGCUAGUAAUCGCGUAUCAGCUACGACGCGGUGAAUAUGUUCCUGAGCCUUGUACACACCGCCCGUCAAGUCAUGGAAGCCGGAAGCACCCGAAGCCGCUACGAUUCAGUAGUGUCGACGGUGAGUUCGGUGACUGGGACUAAGUCGUAACAAGGUA
rnacentral:rRNA from 1 species